UAGUGGCGCACGGGUGAGUAACACGUGACUAAUCUACCCUCGAGUGGGGAAUAACUAAAAGAAAUUUUAGCUAAUACCGCAUAACACUUACGAGUCAAAGCAGCAAUGCGCUUGGGGAGGAGGUCGCGGCAGAUUAGCUAGUUGGCGGGGUAAUGGCCCACCAAGGCGAUGAUCUGUAUCCGGCCUGAGAGGGCGCACGGACACACUGGAACUGAAACACGGUCCAG
rnacentral:rRNA from 1 species